rnacentral:lncRNA from 10 species
CUUCAAAUAAAUAACUCCACAAAUUUAAGUUACAAAACUUAGAUGAAAUGGAACAAUUCCUCAAAAAUAAUAAUCUAUCAAAACCCACCCAAUAUGAAAUAGUUUGAGUACCUAUUAAGUUGAAUGACUACGUAAUUCAAACCUUCCACAAGAGAAACCUCCAGACUUAAAUGGUUUCACCAAAAAAUUCUACCGAAUACUUAAAGAAACAACACCAAUUCUACAAAAUGUCAUGCAAAUAAAAAGGGGGUGGCACUGGAGGAAAAAUUCCCAGUUGAUUUUGGGAGGCCAGUAUUAGUCAAACACCAAAAUCAGAUAAAGUGAAAACAAACAAAUAAAACUACUGACCAACAUUGCUCAUUGUAGUGGUCCCCAACUCCCCUUUCUGUGUCCUGGCCUAGAAGUGCAAGGUGCCUUGACAGCUCUGUGACCCUGGACCAAGUGCAUGUCUUCCCCUGCAGGCUUAAACGUAAGCUAGGGAUUGGAAUGCCCAGGCACUGACAGUUACAUUGUUGCCCGAAACACUGAGAGAUCAAACAUGUUGCUAAACAUGUAGAAACUGGCCCUGGAUCUGAGCCAAAUUCCUUAAGCCCUCAUAUACUCUCCAUAACCCAAACUUCUCAUUGCAGACGUACACAAGUAGAGCUUUUUUUUUUGUUUGCUGUCCAACACAAGGACACACUGCAGCCCCCACAACCCUGUAUGAAAGUUCCUCCGAACAAUGAUUUGAACUGAUUACCCUGGUGAGUUCUUAGACAUGACAUAAAAAGGACAAGGAGGGCCAGGCGUAGUGGCCACGCCUGUAAUCCCAACACUUUGGAAGGUUGAGCCAGGCAGAUCACAAGGUUAAGAGAUGAAGACCAUCCUGGCCAACAUGGUGAAACCCCAUCUCUACUAAAAAUACAAAAAUUAGCUGGGUGUGGUGGCACAAACCUGUAGUCCCAGCUACUUGGGAGGCUGAGGCAGGAAAAUCACUUGAACCCGGAAGGUGGAGGCGGCUGCAGUGAGCCGAGAUCUCACCACUGCACUCCAGCCUGGGCAACAGAGCGAGACUCCAUCUCAAUUAAAAAAAAAAAAGGACCAAGAGAUGUCUUCAAAAUAAUGACAUGAAUUAAUGCAGUACAAAAUGGCUUUGCCUACAAUAGAAAACUAUACAAGUGUUCACUAAAAGGCUGUGAGCGCUGGGCGCAGUGGCUCACACCUGUAAUCCCAGCACUUUGGGAGGCCGAGGCAGGUGGAUCACCUGUCAGGAGUUCGAGAUCAGCCUGACCAACAUGCAGAAACCCCAUCUCUAUUAAAAAUACAAAAUUAGCUGGGCGUGGUGGCGCAUGCCUGUAAUCCCAGCUACUUGGGAGGCUGAAGAAGAAUCGCUUGAACUCGGGAGGCAGAGGUUGCAGUGAGCCAAGACUGUGCCACUGAACUCCAGCCUGAGCAACAAGAGCAAAACUCUGUCUCCAAAAAAAAAAAAAAAAAAAAGGCUCUGAGGAGGGAAGUCCCACUUGGACACCCCUCUCUUCUCAGAAGAGAGCUAGUCUCUUUUCUCUUUCUUUUGCCUAUUAAACCUCUGCUCCUAAACCAAGUAAGUAAAUAAGUAAAUAAAUAAAAAAGGCUUUGAGGAGUUCAAAG